GACGAACCGUGCGAACGUUGUUCGGAUUCACUGGGCUUAAAGGGCGCGUAGGCGGCUUGCCAAGUCAGGGGUGAAAUCUUUCGGCUCAACCGGAAAAGUGCUUCUGAUACUGGCGGGCUGGAGGAGGGUAGGGGCAGGUGGAACUUCCGGUGGAGCGGUGAAAUGCGUAGAUAUCGGAAGGAACGCCGGUGGCGAAAGCGACCUGCUGGACCCUUUCUGACGCUGAGGCGCGAAAGCCAGGGGAGCGAACGGG
rnacentral:rRNA from 1 species